UUUCAAGUAUUGAUUGAGUUGAGUUAUGGUGGAAUUUUAGCUCAUUUUAGUCCAGUCCAAAACUUUCGAGGUGUCUAUAGAUUGACCCCUCUUCUUGUUUUCUAUUUCUCUUCGGCCUUUCCUCUUUACCAGUUCCCUCACAAAAAUUAGGGUUAACAAGCCGAGGAAUCGAUGGCUGACCGGAACAAUUCAUCGGCGAUUACAGUAACUGCGGCGGUGAAGCCAAUAUGGGCAAAGCAAGCCGAGGAAGCAAAGCUGAAAAGCGAAGCCGAGAAAGACGCGGCUGCAAAAGCCGCAUUCGAAGCCACAUUUAAGCACGUUGAAGCUUCAGCCGCCGCCGCAGCUGCCGCUGCAUCGGAUAGUGAUGAAGACGAUGAUGAAUACGAGCAAAAACGGCUCGCGGAGAAACCGAUCGGGCCGGUUGAUCCGAGUAAAUGUACGGCAGCUGGAGCUGGGAUUGCUGGUGGAACAGCGUGUGCGCCGUCGACGUUUACGGUUGUUACGAAGGAUUGCGACGGGCGGAAGGUGCCGCAUGGUGGGGCCCAGGUUAAGAUUAGGGUUUCACCUGGUGUUGGAGUUGGUGGAUCGGAUUUGGAAGGGAUAGUGAAGGAUAUGGGUGAUGGAACGUAUACAGUGAGUUAUAUUGUGCAGAAAAGAGGGAAUUAUAUGGUGAAUGUUGAAUGUAAUGGGAAGGCUAUUAUGGGCAGUCCUUUUCCUGUUUUCUUCAGUACAGGCAGUACUAAUGGCGGGCUAUUGGGUGUGGCUCCAUCAGCCUCAUUUCCAAAUAUGGUCAACCAGAACAUGCCUAAUAUGCCUAACUAUUCUGGUUCUGUAUCUGGGGCAGUGCCAGGAUUACUUGGAAUGAUACCAGGUAUUGUUCCUGGAGCUUCUGGAGGAGCAGUUUUACCUGGAAUUGGGGCAUCUCUCGGUGAAGUUUGCCGAGAAUUCCUUUAUGGACGGUGUGCAAAAACUGAUUGCAAGUUCAAUCAUCCUCCUCACAAUCUUCUAAUGACUGCUCUAGCUGCGACCACCAGUAUGGGAACUCUUAGUCAAGUGCCCAUGGCACCUUCUGCAGCUGCUAUGGCUGCUGCUCAGGCAAUUGUUGCUGCACAGGCUCUUCAAGCGCAUGCUGCUCAGGCACAAGCACAGUCUGGAAAAGAUGCCUCUGGAUCAGGUGACAAAGAUGGAAGGGCUGAUUCCCUUAAAAGAACUGUGCAAGUCAGCAAUCUUAGCCCACUUCUGACAGUGGAUCAGUUGAAACAGCUGUUUGGUUGCUGUGGUGCAAUCCUUGAUUGUAACAUUACUGAAUCCAAACAUUUUGCUUACAUCGAAUACUCAAAACCCGAAGAAGCAACUGGUGCUUUAGCGUUGAACAAUAUAGAAGUUGGUGGCCGCCCCUUAAAUGUUGAAAUGGCAAAACAACUUCCUCCGAAGGCAUCUGUUUUAAAUUCAUCAAUGGGUUCUUCCUCUUUGCCCUUGAUGAUGCAGCAAGCAGUUGCAAUGCAGCAGAUGCAGUUCCAGCAGGCCCUAUUAAUGCAGCAAGCUAUGACUGCACAGCAAGCAGCUAAUCGGGCUGCAACUAUGAAAACUGCUACUGAUUUGGCUGCUGCAAGAGCUGCAGAAAUAAGCAAGAAGUUGAAAGCUGAUGGUCUGAUCUCUGGAGAUGUGGAAACUGAUGACAAGGCCAAGUCACCAUCUCCCAGUCGUGCUAGAUCAAGAUCCAGGUCGCCAUCCAAAUCACGAUCCAGAUCAAGAUCUAAGUCUAAAUCUCCAAUAAGUUAUAGGCGAAGGCGGAGAUCCCGUUCUUUCUCUCCUCUGCCAUGGAAAUCAAGAGAUUAUAGAUCCAGAUCACCUGUUAGACCCCGGCGUUAUUCAGGCUAUGAAGAUGAAAGGCGGUCAUAUAGGGAUGUUAGACAUGCUAGUGACAGAAGUAGAAGACGGGAUUUUGUUAGAUUCUAUGAUCGCCAUUCUCCUGUUUCAAGGAGAAAUAGAAGUAGGAGCACAAGCCCACGAACUAGAAAAUCUUAUCGUGAUGAUUCAGGCUCACCGAAACACCGCCGAGAUAGUCCCCCACACAAGACAAGUAGAGCUUCUCGACGUGAGUCACUGUCACCUGAACAUGGACGAAGAAGUAGGUCAUCUCCAAAAGAUGGUGAAAGAAAAUCAAAAUAUAGAAGGGGAUCAAGAUCAAAGUCUGCCGAAGUCAAGGACCAGUCUGACGAUAAGCUAGAAGGAAGCAGGGGUGAGAAAGCCAGGCAGAAGGAUCAGGGAAGGUCAGCAUCGCCACAGGUUGUUGAGGAUGCACAGAAGAAAAUGCCACCAGAAAUUGUGGAAGUAAGCAAGUCAAAGCACAGAAGAACCUCCAGGUCCAGAUCUCCAGCAGAGAAGCAUCAUUCUAGCAGAAGCAGAGAAGAGAAAAGAAAGCAUCAUGCUAGAAGGCGUUCCAAGUCAAGGUCCAAAUCUCCUGAAGAGAAAGAUCACUCAAGUGAUAGGUUAGACAGAAACAAAGGAGAUAAACCAAAGCAUCGAAGUAGAAGGCACUCAAAAUCAAGGUCCAGAUCUCCAGAAGAAAAACAUCGUUCAAGUGCUAAAUUGGAAAGGAGCAGAAAAGAGAAAUCAAAGAAUCGAAGUAAAAGGCGCUCCAGGUCAAGAUCUGUUGAUGAAAAGCAGCAUGGAAGUAAACAGUCUGCAAGCCGUUCCGAUAACCGACGAUCAAAGCAUAGGGGACGCUCUAGAUCAAAUUCUUCUGAAAGUAGGCAUGGGUCAGGUGAAGAUGAAACCAUAAAGGAUGAAGUGAGAGGUCGUAGGGGUCACCAGAAAAGCUCCAAGCAGUAUGACGGUGAUCAUGGAACAACCGAGGCUAGUUUGAUGGAAGAAGAUCCUGCUAAUGGAAUGUGAACCAGUGACUGAUAGCUUCAAAUUCAAAGAGUUCUGAAUCUAUGGGUUAUGGCUUGCGAUACUCGGUUAUGUGAUCAUUUAUUUUACCUUUGCAGAAAACAUGGAAAGUUUUGAGGAAGCAUGGUGUUCUGGAAGAACGUGAUCCCAAGACAUAGAGUGACUUGAUGAUCAAGAUCUGCUCGAGUGAAUUAAUUGCAGUUUGUAUGACAAAAACGCCUUAUUUUGCUUAUUUUGCAGGUCCUUGAUGGAACGUUAGCAGAAAGUGAAGUAGCAUUAGUUGAAAGAUUGAAUAUCAAGUUUGCCUCUCCUUCAUCUUGGAUCAAUUGUGCUGAUUUUCUUGUGAACUACUUUUUGAGCUCAUGUUAUGGGACUGGUUCUUGUCGGCGCUUUAUCAAAUGAAUGGGCAACGUUAUAUCUGAUUAUAUUUGAAGGUAUGCAAUUGAAAAUUUUGGCUGUUUAAAUGGGAGAGCAUUUGCUGUUUUUGGAACAAUUAUUUUAGAAUGCUGGCUGAAAUUUGUUGGGAUGAAGAAAUAUGUUAUAAAAGUUUAAGGUUGUUAAUCGUCACAUUUCUUGCAUUGCUUCUUUCCUCAUUUUUUUUUCUGCUUUGUCCCCUUUUUUUGUCCCUUUUUUUCUUUUUUCUUCUUUCUUUUGUUUUUCUUCUUGAAAAUGUUUGGUUAGGCAGGCUGCUAUUAAGGUUAAUGCAACCAGAUGUUGCUGAGAUGAGUAGAGCAUGAUGCUCCCUGAAUCGAGCUUGAACAGAUAUACUCAUAUCUGUUGUUUAUUUGGUGGAACUCAAUUGUUGUUCCAUAACAGGUAAAAUCUUGUUGAAUUCAUUAGCUUCUAGUUUCCUUCCUUGCAGAUGGAGUAGUGGAGGACGUGACGGUUAUAGCUCCACACUCUAGUUCACACAAUAUUUAAGUAGCCAAAGCUGGUAUCUGGCCUCUCUUGCUUUUAUUUUAUUUAGCUAGUGUCCCUUCCGGGUUACACUAAUAAAAGUAAUUGGAGCCUCUUGCAGUUACUUUAAAUAUAAGGAAAAGAUUGCCAUUUAAGAAAACCAGUAGGCAUUUAGCCACAUUGCACUUGUUAGUAGCUUGCCGUGACAUAUAGAACCUACAUACGUUGUAUGAAAAAACCUAAUCUGAGGAAUUCCUUGAUCUGUAUCAUGUAUGUGUUUGUGGAAAUUCUCAUAUUACCCCUGUACCUUAUAUUGAUUCCUGUGCUAUCAUGUUGGCUACCUUAUUGUCUUCUGAAAGCAUUCUUUGUUAAGAAUCUCUACCUUGUUGUCUUCUGAAAGCAUUCUUUGUUAACUGUCUGAAGAAUCUCUGCCCAUCUUUUUCUCUUCUUUUUUUUUCCUUUUUUUUUUCGGUUUUCCAUUUUGUUUUUUUCUAGGUGGUGCUGGAUGUAUGGGACUGAGAGCUGUAUCCUGUUGUCAAACUAGAUGUGGUUGAUGUCACACUUCUCUUUUCCUUCCCUUCCCCCCCUCCCCUUUUCUCUCUUUGCACUAUUUCCCUUCCCAUCUAUCAUCUAUAAAGAUUAGUAUAACUAGCAAAAUGGUGCAAGCAAUGCGAGGAAACAUUAAUUUUGGCCGGUGAUUCCGCAAUGUAUUUUUGCUAGGAUGUUUUUGUUUGGACAAGGAUUUUAAUCUUAAAGAGUAGACACACUUUAUGUAGGUGUUUUUAGGCUAUCUAUGAAAUAAAAAUCAGCAGAUGCUUUUGGUAGUC